rnacentral:rRNA from 1 species
AUACGGAGGAUCCGAGCGUUAUCCGGAUUUAUUGGGUUUAAAGGGUGCGCAGGCGGCCAUUUAAGUCAGCGGUUAAAUCGUGGGGCUCAACCCCAUUCUGCCGUUGAUACUGGGUGGCUUGAUUGCGGUCGAGGUUGGCGGAAUUCGUUGUGUAGCGGUGAAAUGCAUAGAUAUGACGAAGAACACCGAUUGCGUAGGCAGCUGACCAGACCGCAAAUGACGCUCAUGCACGAAAGUGCGGGGAUCGAACAGGAUUAGAUACCCUGGUAGUCCGCGCAGUAAACGAUGCGCACCAGGUGUCGGGCGGCAGCGCCCGGUACCGGAGCAAACGCGAUGAGUGCGCCGCCUGGGGAGUAUGCCCGCAAGGGUGAAACUCAAAUGAAUUGACGGGG